rnacentral:rRNA from 1 species
GACGAACGCUGGCGGCGUGCUUAACACAUGCAAGUCGAGCGGUAAGGCCCUUUCGGGGGUACGACGAGCGGCGAACGGGUGAGUAACACGCGGGUGACCUGCCUUUAGUCUCUGGGAGUAAGCCUGGGAAACUAGGGUCUAAUACCGGAUAUGACUCCGCGGUGCAUGCUGUGGGGUGGAAAGCCUUGUGCGGCUGGAGAUGGCCCGCGGCCUAUCAGCUUGUUGGUGGGGUGAUGGCCUACCAAGGCGACGACGGUAGCCGCCUGAGAGGGCGACCGGCCACACUGGGACUGAGACACGGCCCAGACUCCUACGGGAGGCAGCAGUGGGGAAUCUUGCGCAAUGGGCGAAAGCCUGACGCAGCGACGCCGCGUGAGGGAUGACGGCCU